UCUCUAUUCGUUCUUGGCUGAGCUCUGCGCAUUCGGAGGUAGUGUAAUUGUUGGGCGAUAGGUUCUGCAUGUCAUCAUUCUGUUCGUUUCUGUUCGAUUUAGCACUUAUUUGUUGGGUUUUUGUGAAAGAUUGUUGGGUAUUUGUCUGAUUUGGUGUUUUUGUGAUAGAUUCCUGCGUGUGUGACUAAUUUGGGCGAGGAGAAGGAAGGCGAUUCUGGAGGAAAUGGGAGAAGAAUUCGCAACGAAAGCGAGUGAUCAAAUUUCCCAAAGACUAAGGGGCCGGGUACAAAAGAAUCAGAGGAAUUCAAAACGUCUUUCGGACCGCCCUUAACUAAAGACUCUGAGUGUGAAGCUGAAAACUUGAAGGAAGGCCACCAAGUUGCAGGCUCUCACACAAACUGCUACCAUUUGGAUUUAUAUGAAGGCUAAUGGUCAGUUACGAAGUUCGUUCGAGGACGAUGAUGUACUGGAGGAUGCUAUUGAUGGAAAGAAGAGCACAUUGAAAUUGCCAAAGCCAAGAAGAAAGAAGUAGACUUGGCUUGAGGAAAAAAUAUUACUUACCACCAAUUCAUCAUUAUCAAGACUUGGCUGAGGAGUUCACAAGAAAGAAGGACUCGGUGUUUCACAAGAAAUUUUCCAACUCCAAUGAUGAUGAUCAUAGUGAUUUGGAUAAGAAGAGGAAGAUGGUUUCCCUCAACUGCAAGAAAGAAAACUACAUUUGAGUUUUUUCCUACUACUGAAGCACGAGGCUCCCCAAGAGGAAUUUACAAAUCUUACCAUGUCACUGCUCAUCUUCUUCCUCAUCAGAUGAUAAUACAAAACCAACCCACCAAUCAUUACACUCUGAGGGAAGGAGGGCUUUCUCUUAACAUCAGGUGACGCUAACUUUAUGUUCUUUGGGGACUUUGAAGAAAAGAAUAGAAUUUAGCAGGGUAGAGGGAACCCAAUCAUAUUAGCUACCAUUUGAUUGGAUCCAGUGGAUUACUAUUUGAUAGAGAGCGCAAGGAUUCCUCCACUGUAGACCGGUGAUUGAGCGAAGGAGAAAAUAACGGCUUUGGGUCUGUUUGUGAUUGGAAUUAUCUACCUGUUAAUUCAGAGGUUGAAUCGAUCAAUGCCUCGACGUGACAUGAGCAUCAAAGCAUUCAUCAUUAGCAA